rnacentral:rRNA from 1 species
UCCAGGUGUAGCGNUGAAAUGCGUAGAGAUCUGGAGGGAAUACCGGUGNCGAAGGCGGCCCCNUGGACAAAGACNGACGCUCAGNUGCGAAAGNGUGGGGAGCAAACAGGAUUAGAUACCNUGGUAGUGCACGCNGUAAACGAUGUCGAUUUGGAGGUUGUGCCCNUGAGGNGUGGCUUCCGGAGCUAACGCGUUAAAUCGACCGCNUGGGGAGUACGGCCGCAAGGUUAAAACUCAAAUGAAUUGACGGGGGCCCGCACAAGCGGUGGAGCAUGUGGUUUAAUUNGAUGCAACGCGAAGAACCUUACCUGGUCUUGACAUCCACAGAACUUUNCAGAGAUGNNUUGGUGCCUUCGGGAACUGUGAGACAGGUGCUGCAUGGCUGUCGUCAGCUCNUGUUGUGAAAUGUUGGGUUAAGUCCCGCAACGAGCGCAACCCUUNUCCUUUGUUGCCAGCGGUUNGGCCGGGAACUCAAAGGAGACUNCCAGUGAUAAACNGGAGGAAGGUGGGGANGACGUCAAGUCAUCAUGGCCCUUACGACCAGGGCUACACACGUGCUACAAUGGCAUAUACAAAGAGAAGCGACCUCGCGAGAGCAAGCGGACCUCAUAAAGUAUGUCGUAGUCCGGAUUGGAGUCUGCAACUCGACUCCAUGAAGUNGGAAUCGCUNGUAAUNGUAGAUCAGAAUGCUACGGUGAAUNCGUUCCCGGGCCUUGUACACACCGCCCGUCACNCCAUGGGAGUGGGUUGCAAAAGAAG